GGCUACCAAACAGCAGAAAAGUGACCUUUAGUAGUCCACAGUCAUCGGUGCCACAAGAUCUCAAAGUCUGAACCAAGAUCUGAUGGUUCUGAGUGAUGUAUCCAUCAAUCAAAUCAGAAGGUUGGACUCAGGUUUUCGGGGGCUGCUGUGUUUUCCCAUGAAACACUCACAGCCAUACUCGGAAUGUCUUGAUGAGAACGACAAGAGCAGUCAUCCACAAAGACCCAUGCACUCAGGCUUUCUGAAAGUUAUUUCUCCACUGACUAAACGACUAGGACGUGGCUGAUAGUCUGCUACAUCUUCAGAAACAGUGAUUCUAACAUCUCCAGGACUGAGGACCAUGGCCUAAACAAAGCAGACAGGAAACACUAACAAGCUGCAACCAACUAAUAUGACAUCUGAUUAGGCCAGAAGUGAUAGGAUAGGACUCCAGGGUACCAGUGAGGCUAAAGAAGGCCACCUUUUCAUGAAGGGACAGGAAAGAGGUAGGUAUGGCUAAGUCAGUACUGAGUAGAAAAAGUAACUACUCAGCUCCACUUCCGCACUUAAGAACUUGUCUCCAACUCAAUGACAAGUCAAUCCACACUGCCACCAGCACUCAAAAGUUUCUACACAGUAAAAGGACCAUCCAAGUCACUUCAUAUAUUCACUUAUUCCUAGCAAGGAAAUAAAAUUAACAGUACACGUUGGACUUUUCAUCAUCGUGACAAACACCACACACAAACAAAACAUAGCUCAGCUUCCGAAGUUGGAUCCACUAUGGCUAGGAAAGCAUGCGCGGCAAGGAGCUCACCCAGGAAUCAAAGAAGGAAUAGACUGGGAAGUAGGCUUCAACAGUGUGUCCCAGUGACCUACCCUCCAACGAGGCCCCAUUUCCUAAGUUUCCACCACCUCUCAAAACUGUACCUCCAGCUGGAGGCCAAGUAUUCAUUCAACUCAUAAACCUGCAGGGGACAUUUUAUAUUCACAUAGUAACAAA